ACACAUGCAAGUCGAACNAUGGAACCNCNUCGGUGGGGAUUAGUGGCGAACGGGUGAGUAACACGUGGGCAAUCUGCCCUGCACUCUGGGACAAGCCCUGGAAACGGGGUCUAAUACCGGAUACUGACCCUCGCAGGCAUCUGCGAGGUUCGAAAGCUCCGGCGGUGCAGGAUGAGCCCGCGGCCUAUCAGCUUGUUGGUGAGGUAAUGGCUCACCAAGGCGACGACGGGUAGCCGGCCUGAGAGGGCGACCGGCCACACUGGGACUGAGACACGGCCCAGACUCCUACGGGAGGCAGCAGUGGGGAAUAUUGCACAAUGGGCGAAAGCCUGAUGCAGCGACGCCGCGUGAGGGAUGACGGCCUUCGGGUUGUAAACCUCUUUCAGCAGGGAAGAAGCGAAAGUGACGGUACCUGCAGAAGAAGCGCCGGCUAACUACGUGCCAGCAGCCGCGGUAAUACGUAGGGCGCGAGCGUUGUCCGGAAUUAUUGGGCGUAAAGAGCUCGUAGGCGGCUUGUCACGUCGGUUGUGAAAGCCCGGGGCUUAACCCCGGGUCUGCAGUCGAUACGGGCAGGCUAGAGUUCGGUAGGGGAGAUCGGAAUUCCUGGUGUAGCGGUGAAAUGCGCAGAUAUCAGGAGGAACACCGGUGGCGAAGCGGAUCUCUGGGCCGAUACUGACGCUGANNANCAAAGCGUGGGGAGCGAACAGGAUAGAUACCCUGGUAGUCC
rnacentral:rRNA from 1 species